AUUGAACGCUGGCGUCAUGCUUUACACAUGCAAGUCGAACGGUAACAGGGAGCUUGCUCCGCUGACGAGUGGCGAACGGGUGAGUAAUAUAUCGGAACGUGCCCAAGAGUGGGGGAUAACGUAGCGAAAGUUACGCUAAUACCGCAUACGAUCCAAGGAUGAAAGCAGGGGACCUUCGGGCCUUGUGCUCCUGGAGCGGCCGAUAUCUGAUUAGCUAGUUGGUGAGGUAAAGGCUCACCAAGGCGACGAUCAGUAGCUGGUCUGAGAGGACGACCAGCCACACUGGAACUGAGACACGGUCCAGACUCCUACGGGAGGCAGCAGUGGGGAAUUUUGGACAAUGGGGGCAACCCUGAUCCAGCAAUGCCGCGUGAGUGAAGAAGGCCUUCGGGUUGUAAAGCUCUUUUGUCAGGGAAGAAAAGGGUACGGCUAAUAUCCGUGCCUCAUGACGGUACCUGAAGAAUAAGCACCGGCUAACUACGUGCCAGCAGCCGCAGUAA
rnacentral:rRNA from 1 species